GAUGAACGCUGGCGGCGUGCCUAAUACAUGCAAGUCGAGCGAACAGACGAGGAGCUUGCUCCUCUGACGUUAGCGGCGGACGGGUGAGUAACACGUGGAUAACCUACCUAUAAGACUGGGAUAACUUCGGGAAACCGGAGCUAAUACCGGAUAACAUGUUGAACCGCAUGGUUCCACAGUGCAAGACGGUCUUGCUGUCACUUAUAGAUGGAUCCGCGCCGCAUUAGCUAGUUGGUAAGGUAACGGCUUACCAAGGCAACGAUGCGUAGCCGACCUGAGAGGGUGAUCGGCCACACUGGAACUGAGACACAGUCCAGACUCCUACGGGAGGCAGCAGUAGGGAAUCUUCCGCAAUGGGCGAAAGCCUGACGGAGCAACGCCGCGUGAGUGAAGAAGGUCUUCGGAUCGUAAAACUCUGUUAUUAGGGAAGAACAAAUGUGUAAGUAACUAUGCACGUCUUGACGGUACCUAAUCAGAAAGCCACGGCUAACUACGUG
rnacentral:rRNA from 1 species